rnacentral:rRNA from 1 species
AUUGAACGCUGGCGGCAUGCUUUACACAUGCAAGUCGGACGGCAGCACAGAGAAGCUUGCUUCUUGGGUGGCGAGUGGCGAACGGGUGAGUAACAUAUCGGAACGUACCGAGCAGUGGGGGAUAACUAAUCGAAAGAUUAGCUAAUACCGCAUAUCUUCUGAGGAAGAAAGCAGGGGACCAUUUGGCCUUGCGCUGUUUGAGCGGCCGAUAUCUGAUUAGCUAGUUGGUGGGGUAAAGGCCUACCAAGGCGACGAUCAGUAGCGGGUCUGAGAGGAUGAUCCGCCACACUGGGACUGAGACACGGCCCAGACUCCUACGGGAGGCAGCAGUGGGGAAUUUUGGACAAUGGGCGCAAGCCUGAUCCAGCCAUGCCGCGUGUCUGAAGAAGGCCUUCGGGUUGUAAAGGACUUUUGUCAGGGAAGAAAAGGGCGGGGUUAAUACCCCUGUCUGAUG